rnacentral:rRNA from 1 species
GAUCAUGGCUCAGAUUGAACGCUGGCGGCAGGCUUAACACAUGCAAGUCGAGCGGGGAAAGGUAGCUUGCUACCUGACCUAGCGGCGGACGGGUGAGUAAUGCUUAGGAAUCUGCCUAUUAGUGCGGGACAACGUUCCGAAAGGAACGCUAAUACCGCAUACGCCCUACGGGGGAAAGCGGGGGAUCUUCGGACCUUGCGCUAAUAGAUGAGCCUAAGUCGGAUUAGCUAGUUGGUGGGGUAAAGGCCUACCAAGGCG